GACGAACGCUGGCGGCGUGCCUAAUACAUGCAAGUAGAACGCACAGUUUAUACCGUAGCUUGCUACACCAUAGACUGUGAGUUGCGAACGGGUGAGUAACGCGUAGGUAACCUGCCUGGUAGCGGGGGAUAACUAUUGGAAACGAUGGCUAAUACCGCAUAAUAUUAAUUAUUGCAUGAUAAUUAAUUGAAAGGUGCAAUUGCACCACUACCAGAUGGACCUGCGUUGUAUUAGCUAGUAGGUGAGGUAACGGCUCACCUAGGCGACGAUACAUAGCCGACCUGAGAGGGUGAUCGGCCACACUGGGACUGAGACACGGCCCAGACUCCUACGGGAGGCAGCAGUAGGGAAUCUUCGGCAAUGGACGAAAGUCUGACCGAGCAACGCCGCGUGAGUGAAGAAGGUUUUCGGAUCGUAAAGCUCUGUUGUAAGAGAAGAACGGGUGUGAGAGUGGAAAGUUCACACUGUGACGGUAUCUUACCAGAAAGGGACGGCUAACUACGUG
rnacentral:rRNA from 1 species